CACAUAUAGCUAGCUGGGAAGGCAACGACGGGAUCGCAGAGUACAAAGCCCUCCGAAACUCCCAAUUUUCUCCUCCUUCAGCUCUGCUCCUACCCAAAAUUAUUGAGGAAGGCAACCCUCGUCUUUCUCCCCCUUCCUCUCGCGCUUCAGCUUCUCUAAAUCCCGUAAAUCAGUCUUCCAACGGGAUUUUCUAAAUCCUGGAUGUAAGCCAUGAAGCUUCAGAGACAACAAUCACUUUCAUGGGGGUGGAAACUACAUCUGAUGUAACGCUGAUUAAAAGAGUGCUAGGAUACUUUAACAUGCCAGUUCCUGCAGAUUAUUUGGAUAACCAUUCAACAGCAAAUUUAGUUUCCGGAGCAAUCUUGAUUAUCUUUGGUUCCAUUUUAUUUUUGGUGUUCACGUUUGCUGCAGUAAUAUCAAAGCUUCUUCCACCAUUUGAUAACAAACUUUUAUUUGCUAUUCAGAAUGAUAGAUAUUACUGCUUGUUGGUACCUUUGACUCUACCUGUAGUCAUUGUGGCUGUAUAUUUUCAUUGGCUAAGUAUGAAGCUAUUCAAGCAUGCUUGAGGAACAUCUUAUCUGUAAGCUAGCGGAGUUCAGGUUCUAUCCAAGAUUGCAUCUCUUGCUUGCCACAGGUUCUCGCAUGGAUCUGCCGCCGCCAGAUGCUACUUCAAGUCUGUGAAGUUACAUGAGAUACUGCUGAAGCCAAUGGGAGUUUUGUUUUCUUGUUUUUUAUGUGAGAAAGAUGGUCGGAGGGUAAGAAUAAUAUGACCAAAGAUUAGGCGAAGCACAGGCGCUGUUGAAGUUGUGAUAUUGAGAACUUCCAUUCUUGAUUGAUUCCAUGAAGCACAAAGCUGGUGUUUUUUACUUCUGGUGAUGUACAUUAUGGGCAUUAAUUUUGAUUGUUGGAAAAUACAUUUUCAAUAUGGAGAUUCGUAUGUAUUUUCAUUGCUUCAAAAUAAUCUUUUUAGUAUAUUUCAUCAAAAGAAAUAAAUGGGAAAAAGCUUACGGUGUCAAUAUGGUAUUUU